GAUGAACGCUGGCGGCGUGCCUAAUACAUGCAAGUCGAGCGAACAGACGAGGAGCUUGCUCCUCUGACGUUAGCGGCGGACGGGUGAGUAACACGUGGAUAACCUACCUAUAAGACUGGGAUAACUUCGGGAAACCGGAGCUAAUACCGGAUAAUAAAUUGAACCGCAUGGUUCAAUAGUGAAAGACGGUUUUGCUGUCACUUAUAGAUGGAUCCGCGCCGCAUUAGCUAGUUGGUAAGGUAACGGCUUACCAAGGCGACGAUGCGUAGCCGACCUGAGAGGGUGAUCGGCCACACUGGAACUGAGACACGGUCCAGACUCCUACGGGAGGCAGCAGUAGGGAAUCUUCCGCAAUGGGCGAAAGCCUGACGGAGCAACGCCGCGUGAGUGAUGAAGGUCUUCGGAUCGUAAAACUCUGUUAUUAGGGAAGAACAAAUGUGUAAGUAACUAUGCACGUCUUGACGGUACCUAAUCAGAAAGCCACGGCUAACUACGUG
rnacentral:rRNA from 1 species